rnacentral:lncRNA from 1 species
AAUUUUAUAGAUGAGAGGGGCUCAUAUCACUUGUACAUGGUGUAUCGAUAUUUGAUAGACCACUGAAAAGUAAUCUACUGUAUAAUUUCUCUUACUCUUUUUCUUUUCAGAUUCAGCUAUACAUUGGUACAUUCUUUGGCGAAAAGAAUGUAAUUUCCAUAUAACGCCACAUUUUUGCGAUGCACAUUAUAGCCAAACUGAUUACACAUACAAACACGUAUGUCUACAUACAUAUAUCAAACAUCAAUAUUGAGUACAAGACCUAUUUACAAAAUAGACGGACAUCAAUAUUGAGCACAUGACCUAUUUACAAAAAAUAAAAAGACAAGCAUCAAUAAUGAGUAUGAAAUAUCUUGUAUAGUUGCAUUGGAGUCUGAUUCAUGAUAAAGAACAGGUAUCUUUUGCAGCUUAUAGUGAAAUGAUGAAACUUCAAAAGUACCUUGAGACUGUAUAUUGGCAAAUACUGUCCCUACUGAUUUUUCCACUCCACUUCCAAUGCAACCUCGUUACGGCGUUGAAAUGGAAGAGCAAAUGGGGGAUUGUACUGAAACAAAAUAAAAGAGUAACUACCAUCUGAAGAAGACAUAAAUGAGAAAGUAUUAGAGACAUUUAACCCAAAGAUUGCAUUAAGGAUUUAACCUGUGCAAUUUCUAUUGAAGUUCCCUCUUUAAUUUUGAAUUCUCCGUCAUUUUUCAAAGCUUCUCUCAGUUUCAGUUCACGCCGCUUAAUUUCUUCAUCAUUCACAAAACCUGAUUCAGUAUAAAGGAAAGAAAAGUAUAUAUUUGGUUUAGGACUUUACUUGAAUUUUCAAUAAAUAUUUUAUCCACAUAUAAGUAUUAAGAGUUGUCCGAUUUACUCAUCCAAUUACCCAACACGUGCACCAAAAAAAAGAGAGAAUGGGACGCAUCCAAAUAACUGUGUUUUGAGUUACUCCGCUUAAUAAUUCAUUAUAAAUAUUAGAUUUCAUCAAUCUAACCGUUGAAAUUUUAUAAAAAUUUGUGCAAUUGAUCUACUCAAUAAGAUUUUUCAAUUCAACGGUUGGAUUAGUAAAAUCUAAUAUUUAUAAUAAGUUAUUAAGCAGAGUAACUAAAUGUAGAGUUACUCCUAGAGUAAGUUGAUCUCUCACGCACACACAUAAAAACAUAGAGAUUCGCUGAAUUGUGUCGGACUACAAAUCUAUACGUAGAAAUACUAGCAGUAUAUUAUAAUUGAAUGAAAUUCAUCAUAAUAAAUCAUGCCGGUCUCAUUUCCUCUUUUGAGGUUCCCACAUGGAUUUCAUUUAAUAAUAUAGAGAAUGUUGAAAAAUUUGUUGCUACCAUUUCUCUGCAUACAAAUAUACAUGUGAAUGGAAUAAACCAAAUUGUGUGUUAUAUGUCCUAUCUCCUGUAAUAAUUACUUUAAAAUCUUAAUCUGUUACGUAUGAAAGAGCAGAAUGUAAUAAUAUAACAGUACAGCAGAGAAACAGAGGAGAAUGAGAGCUUUAUUAUAAUGAGCAGAAAUGGAAAGAGAUACAGAAAAGGGAAUGUAACCCUAGAUCUGACAAGAGCUAGGCUCCUAAUAGGAAGCUAUAGCUCCCUAUACAUGCUAGUAUAUCACUAUAAUCCAAGGCAAUCUAUCCAUUCUCUCAGAAAAGGGAAUGUAACCCUAGAUCUGACAAGAGCUAGGCUCCUAAUAGGAAGCUAUAGCUCCCUAUACAUGCUAGUAUAUCACUAUAAUCCAAGGCAAUCUAUCCAUUCUCUCUCUGAUUCCUUAUAUCGUGGAAAUGGGAUGCAAGGUGCUCUCCUCACUCAAGCCACGUCACUGUAUUGUAACUAACUAGCCACCAAUUCCCUUCUUACCCUUCCUUCUAGAAUAAACUUUCCAAGCUUAGGGUCCACUAGGUUCCCUGUACAUCAGCUGCUCACGUGGCGAUUCUUUCUCAACUAACUGGGGCUUAUCAAUACCCUCUCCUUCCGCAAUGACCUUGUCCUCAAGGCCAAACUUUGGAAAUUGGCUUCUGAUCAUUAUCUCAUCCGCCCAAGUUGCUUCUUCUGCUGUCUUGCCCUUCCAAUGUAUCAGGAUUUGUCUGAUUUCUUCAUCUUGUUUUUUCACCUUCCUAGUAGCUAGUACCGCCUCUGGUUCAUACACUUCAGUCUGUUCCUCCAAUAGAUCUGGUAACUCAUCCUCUUCAUGAUAACGGCCCACAGCUUUCUUCAGUAAUGAUACAUGAAAAACACGGUGCGCCCUGGACCCCUCUGGUAGCUUUAGUCUGUAUGCCACUGCUCCUAUCUUCUCAAUAAUGGGAUAAGGACCGUAGUAUCUUGCUGCUAAUUUAGCACUAAUUCUGGUCACUACCGACUGCUGCCUAUGCGCUCUAAGCUUGACAAACACCCACUCCCCACAUGCAAAACUCCUGUCAGUGCGUUUCUUAUCAGCUUGACUUUUCAUUUUAUCUUGUGCUCUCAACAAUUGGUUCCUCAAUUGUCUGAAAGCCUCGUCUCUGUCCAACAAGUUCCUCUGCACAGCUUCUACUCUAGUCUCUCCUACUACCUCAAAUGGUGUUCUCUCGGUAGCAGCAUAAAACGUUGUGUUGAACCAAUACUCGGCCCAGUGUAUCCAAGUUACCCAUGUCCUAGGUUAAUCCGCAAUGAAGCACCUCAAAUAGGUCUCCAAACACCUAUUAACCACUUCUGUCGGACCAUCCGAUUCGGGGUGAUAUGCAGUACUCAUUUUCAGCUUAGUUCCCUGCAGUUUGAACAGCUCCUUCCAAAAACUGCUCAUAAAAAUGGGAUCCCUGUCACUCACUAUGGAAAGAGGUAUCCCUUGGAGUUUGACUACCUCCUUACCAAAUACUUCGGCAAUACUCCUAACGGUAUAUGGAUGUCGCAGAGGAAUAAAAUGAGAGUACUUGGACAAUCUGUCUACCACCACCAAAAUAGCUUCGAAGCCUUUUGAUUUUGGCAACCCGGUGAUGAAGUCAAUCGAUAUCCCAAAUUUGAUGAGGAUGGGUAGAGGUUGUAACAAACCUCCUGGAGAUGAAGCUAUGUACUUCUGUCUUUGGCAAAUGCCGCACCUUCUUACAAAGUCUUGUACGGUUCCUUUCAUGCCUAUCCAAUACAGAUUAGCAGCUAAUCUUCUAUCAGUUUUUGUAGAACCCCGAAUGUCCUCCCUGGGGUGUUGAAUGGAAUUCCUCUAACAAUGUAGGAAUUAACAAGGACUUAUUGGAAAUCACCAACCUACCUUCAUACAUCAAGACCCCUUGCUUGUACUCAUAACCCGACCAUGAUUCUGCAUUCUGUUGGACCCCUGCUAUUAUUCUCUGCAACCUUUCGUCCUGUUGAUUUUCUGUUUUAAUCUGUUCCUCUUGAAGCCAUUUCCAUUGGUAAUUCAUGGUAGCUAACUCCCCUCCCUCAUGAAUUCUGGAUAAAGCAUCUGCCCCCUUGUUCAAUUUACCCUGUUUGUACACAAUCUCUCAGUCAUAACCCAAUAAUUUAGCAGUCCAGUUCUGCUGUUCUGCGGUUACAAUUCUCUGUUGCAGUAGCUGUUUGAGGCUUUUUUGGUCAGUUGAUACUACAAAUUUUCUUCCCAACAAGUAUGGUCUCCAGUGCUGGAUUGCUAAAACUACUGCCAUCAAUUCUUUUUCAUAUGCAGAUUUAGCUAAAUUCUUCACACCAAGGGCCUUGCUGUAAUAUGGCUAUUGGUUUUUAUCUGCAUCAAGAUCGCCCUAUCCUCCUCCGAAGCAUCACACUCAAUCAAAAACUCUGGAAAAAUCGGGUAAAGCUAACAUAGGUGCUGAUGUAAGCCUCUCCUUCAACUCGUCAAAGGCUUGCUGAGCUUCCACUCCCCAUUUGAAACUAUCCUUCUUGGUAAGCUCAUUUAUGGUCUAGCAAUUUUUCCAUAAUCCUUUAUAAACUUCCUUGAGUCCUAAGAACCCUCUCACCCCUUUUACAUUCUUAGGUUGUGGCCAUUGCAUCACACUGGCCACCUUUCCAGGAUUACAGCUACACCGUGUUCUGUGAUCAUGUGCCCCAAAUACUCCACACUCUGCUGGCAAAAAAACACUUCUUCUUGUUAGCUACUAGGCUGUGAUUAGCUAAUAAACUCAACACUUCCUCUAAAUGCCGCACAUGAGUCUCCCAACUCUUGCUAUAGAUGAGGAUGUCAUCAAAGAAGACCAGCACGUGUUUCCUCAGUAGAGAACGAAAAACAUCAUCCAUUAGGCUUUGGAACGUUGAUGGAGCAUUCAUGAGUCCGAACGGUAUCACAAGGAACUCAUAAUGCCCUUCAUGUGUCCUGAAAGCCGUUUUGCACACAUCAGAUUCCUUCACCCUCACUUGGUGGUAUCCCGAUUUCAAAUCCAAUUUCGAAAAGAAUUUCGCUCCAUGCAACUCAUCCAAUAACUCUUCGAUCACCAGUAUACGAAAUUUGUCAGGUACCGUGAUCUUAUUUAGAGCGCGAUAAUCAAUGCACAUUCGCCAUGUGCAGUCCUUCUUCUUCACCAAAAUCACCGAACUUGAGAACGAACUCGUGUUGUGGCGAAUGAUCCCCGUAGCCAACAUCUCAUUUACCUGCUUCUCUAUUUCAUUCUUGUGAUGGUGGGGAUAGCGAUACGGCCUCACGUUUACGGCUCCUUGUCCUCCCACAAGGUUGAUUGCAUGCUCUUUGUUUCUUUUCGGAGGAAGACCUAGCACUGUUUGGAACACCUGAUCGUAUUUGCGUAAUACUGUUUCCAACUCCCUUUGUAGCUGGGCAGACAACGUAUUUCUUUUAGCCUCUUUGGGUUUUGUUUUCUCUACUGUCCACAAUAAAUCCUGCAUAUGGAGCCUGGGCUUACUCAGUANGCGGAGAUUUAAUCAAUUUUAAGAAUUGUAUCGGGUGUGACACAACCUAACAAAACCAACUUGUAAGAAGAAAAUUGUCCCACACUUAUAAACAUAUUUCUAGACCAUAUCUCAUUCGAUGUGGGACUCUUUAACAGAGACCAUAUCUUUCAGCCGUUUUUGUUAAAAUUAUUCAAACUAGCAGGCACAAAAUGGAGUUCAGCUACUACGUAUCAUCCUCAACAACAGAUGUUUAGAGACAUACUUGCAAUGCCAUAACAGGUGGUUCCCACCCACCGCAAGGCAUGGCCAUGGCCACUCAGUUGGGUUGAAUUUUGGUACGGAGCCAACUUUCAGAGCUCAACUACAACACAAUUCUGAAGAGAGUGGGAAAUGGCAUAUAAACGGAGAGUAGUAGUCGGAUACAUCGAGUUUUUCAUGUCUCAUUAUUGAAGCAGUCCUCUCACCUAAUACUCAAGCACAGCCCCUGCCUUCUAUGUUGACUGAAGGCUUAAGAUUAAAAGUACAAGCCAAAGAUAUGGUUUCAAGACGAUGAUAAUGGCAACUAGCCAGUGCUCCUCAAAUUACAAGAUCUUCCAUCCUUUGAGAAUUCAUGGGAAACUAUGGACUAUGUUCAGUGUUCCGACCACCCUAAGAGGUCUUUUUUUCAUAAAAUAUGAGUAGGGGUCUUAUCUAUAAACAAAUGCAGGUAGCCUCAUGUAAACCGCUAUUAUUACUACAAGAGAAGUAUAAUAGGUGGACAACUUUUAAGGUAUUCACCUGUAGACCAAUUACAUAUUAAUCCUUUCUAUUUGUACCUGCCAACAACGUUUCAUCCUUAUCAUUCUCAUAAGAUUCCCCUGCUACAGGAAAUACGUCCAUCAUAGCACAAGAUAUGGGGGCAUGUUCUGGCUGGGAUCAUAUCCAUAUUCAACCGCAAGUAAGAACUCGUUACGAGGAGAGGAUGGGAUGAGGAUACUAUGUUUAGCAACUAGCAUUUGAUAUUGGAUGGAGUUGCUUUUAACUAGUAGGCAGUCAAAGUAGGAGAAACUGAUGGCAAAGUUGUAGGUUUCAAGGGAGGGGGAGGCAAUCAGAAUUCUAAACCAUUGCAGGCAGACGACAACCCUGAAAAUCUGAGACAUGUGAUUUUGGUGGCGGCCACCGCCUCAGUCUCCAUACACUCAAACAAGAUGAAAGUCUCACAUUAAUUAAAAGAGUGUUGUGUUACACAAACAAAAGGAAUUAAGGGGAAUUAAUAAUUGUAGCAGCUGUUAGCAGCAACAGGAUAGAGACCACUAGUUAUUUCCUCAGCCAUUCUUGAUCAGAAAAUCAGUAUUAUUCAAACUAGAAGGCACAGCAUUGAAGUCCAAUACUGCAUAUCCCUAAACAAGAUGGAUAGAGAAGUCAUAAAUCGAUGUUUAAGAGACAAUGUGAUGUAUGACAGGUUCUCAGCCAAGACACAGUGGCCAAACCCCCUAGUUGAGCUGAAUUUUGGUACAAUACCAACUUUCACAGUUCAAACUAACUCACACAAUUCAAGGCUCUGUAUGGCCGUGACCCUCUCACCCACUUUUCCAUGCUACUAUCCAUUCGACAGUUAAAAGAUGUUAACCUAAUGUCUGAAGAGAGAGAGAUCAACUAUUAGACAAGUUGAAAAACAAUUCAGUGAAGGCCAGAGAUAGAAUGAAACUGCAACCUGACAAGAAGAGAAGAAAGUUAGAGUUUAAGGAGGGAGAUAUAGCGUACUUAAAAUUACAGGCCCUACCACUGCAAGUCUUUGACUAGAAGAGUGAAUAAAAUGCUAACCUCGGUAACUAUGGGCCAUUUCCAAUUCCGAAGAGACUGGAAAAUGGCAAUAAACUGAGAGAUAGUAUUCGGAUACAUCGAGUUUUUCAUGUCCUCGUUGUUAAAGGCGGCCAUCUCACCUAAUACUCAAGCACAGCCUCUGCCUCCUAUGUUGACUGAAGGUUAAGAUAAGAAAUACAGCCAGAAGAUCUGGUUUCAAGCAAUGAUAAUGGCAACAAACUAGUACUCCUCAAAUGUAGAAUCAGCUACCUUUUGAGAAUUCAUGGGAACUACGGACUACACUCAGUGUUUUUUCCAUCUAUUCUCCUUGAGGACAAAGUGGCUCAAUUAGAAAAGGAUAAAUAGGAAUCAGUUAGGAGUGACAAAUUAAACCAUUUUCUAGUGAAUAACAAAGUAAUUAAAUUCAGUGAAGUUCCAGUUCUAACACACGAUAUACCUCGUUUUUAAUCCUUUUAUCUAUCUCAAUGGCCUUUCUAGACUUCAACAUUAAAUCUAUUUUUAGGUCAUGUUUUGGCCUUAGGGCAGUCUUGUUCUGAAGUUUAAUGCUUUCGCUUCUCUGUGUGUUUGGUUUUGCACUAUUUUAUGUAAUAAACUCGUUAUUUCUUCUGUUUAGAUCUAUCUGUUUUGGAUAUGCUAUAUUUCACGACAGUAAGUUCCGUGCAGUGCUAACAGAGAAACAUGUUCCAAGACAAAAUGCAGAUGGUUGAUUCUACGAACCUGAGUAGGCUACAUUGCUGUGAGGAUAUUAUUGCUAAAUUUUAAUAGAUGAGAGGGGCUCAUAUCACUUGUAAUGGUGUAUCGAUAUUUGAUAGACCACUGAAAAGUAAUCUACUGUAUAAUUUCUCUUACUCUUUUUCUUUUCAGAUUCAGCUUACAAUUGGUACAUUCUUUGGCGAAAAGAAUGUAAUUUCCAUAUAACGCCACAUUUUUGGAUGCACAUUUAGCCCAAACUGAUUACACAUACAAACACUAUGUCUACAUACAUAUAUCAAACAUCAAUAUUGAGUACAUAGACCUAUUUACAAAAAUGACGGACAUCAAUAUUGAGCACAUGACCUAUUUACAAAAAAUAAAAAGACAAGCAUCCAAUAAUGAGUAUGAAAUAUCUUGUAUAGUUGGCAUUGGAGUCUGAUUCAUGAUAAAGAACAGGUAUCUUUGCAGCUUAUAGUGAAAUGAUGAAACUUCAAA